GGGAUUGUAACUCAGUGGUAAGAGUGUCCGCCUGUCUAGCGGAAAGUCGCGUGUGUCUCCUGUCGGAGAGGCUACGCCAACAAAUCCCGUCAAUCCCG
rnacentral:tRNA from 1 species